CUCGGUUUAUUGCCCGCAAGCUCCAUAUCGGUUUUUGAAGUCAAUUGAGUGUCUAGUCAAGUCUUUAUCAGAGUUAGCGGAUCUAAGUUCACUGAAAUGAAGACGUCCUGUGUGUUUCUUGUUGGGCUGCUCGUGUUGGGCCUUGCACUGGCUGAUCUGGGCCAGGGUGAAGCAGUUGUGGAUGCUGAAGCAGACAGGGAGAAACGAUGCUCCCCAAUUCGGCAUAGCCUGUGUCCGUGCUGCUCGCCGUUGAUAUGCAAGGUAGUUCCUGUCAGCCCAAGGUAUUGGAGACCACAGUG